rnacentral:rRNA from 1 species
GUCUAUGGCCAUGCUACUCUGAACAAGCCUGAUCCCAUCUGAUCUCAGAAGCUAAGUGGGGUCAGGCCUGGUUAGUACUCGGAUGGGAGACCACCUAGGAAGACCUGGUGCUAUAGGCU